rnacentral:rRNA from 1 species
UAAUUCACUAUAUUGUUCGCCAGAGUACUACAAGCGCUAGCUUAAAACCCAAAGGACUUGGCGGUGUCCCAAACCCACCUAGAGGAGCCUGUUCUGUAACCGAUAAUCCCCGUUAAACCUCACCACUUCUGGCCAUCCCCGUCUAUAUACCGCCGUCGUCAGCUCACCCUAUGAAGGUUAAAAAGUAAGCAAAAAGAACCAACUCCCAUACGUCAGGUCGAGGUGUAGCAAAUGAAGUGGAUAGAAAUGGGCUACAUUUUCUAUAAAGAAAACACGAAUGGUAGACUGAAAAAUUACCUAAAGGUGGAUUUAGCAGUAAGAAAAGAUUAGAGAAUUUCUCUGAAACCGGCUCUGGGACGCGCACACACCGCCCGUCACUCUCCUCAAAAAACCCUACUUAUUUUUAAUUAAAAGAAAAUUACUAAGAGGAGGCAAGUCGUAACAUGGUAAGUGUACUGGAAAGUGCACUUGGAAUC